rnacentral:sRNA from 1 species
CUCGGCUCAUUGCAGCCUCCACCUCCUGGGUUCAAGUGAUUCUCCUGCCUCAGCCUCCUGAGUACUUGGGAUUACAGGCAUGCACCACUACGCCUGGCUAAUUUUUGUAUUUUUAGUAGAGAUGGGGUUUCACCAUGUUGGCCAGGCUGGUCUCGGACUCCUGACCUCAAGUGAUCCACCCACCUUGGCCUCCCAAAGUGCUGGGAUUAUAGGCAUGAGCCACUGCGCCAGGCCUAUUUGCCUCUUUUAUUUGCAUUGCUGUCUCUUUCUGUCACUGACCACCCCACCAUCUCCCCCUCCCACUGGUCCUGUCCUGUUUCCCCUCUCCCUAUGGCACCCUCUUAGCUGGUGUGGGGGGGCAGGACUCCCCAGCCCAGGUUCCCUGGCUCCCAUCCAACGCCUGGCCUGGCCGGGGUGACCUUUGCAGUGACAGGCUCCCUGUCAGAGCUCCAGAUUAGCUAUGUCUGCCGGGAAGUGCUCCAGGGACUGGCCUAUCUGCACUCACAGAAGAAGAUACACAGGGACAUCAAGGGAGCUAACAUCCUCAUCAAUGAUGCUGGGGAGGUCAGACUGG